CUGCCUCUCUGAAACGAGAGGAGGCAAAGUGACUCAUUCGUUCCCACUUGGGCUGCACCCGGUCGGAGCGGGAAACUGAAAAAUCAGGUGGCUCCAACAGAGAAACGCUGCAGCAUCCGGGCGAUAUUUUGAUUGAAAUCCCACGAUAUUUGGCAAGCUCUCCUCUGUGCUGCAGGCGUGGCUGGCGCAAAAGCUCGUGAGCGACAGCUACCUGCCAAGCACCUCGGACCCGUCCAGGAACUCCGUUUUCCUCCCUUCGGUCUUCAGUCUCCCCGGCAGGCCAUCUCGCAGAGAAGACAUAUAGGCUUCAUGGGGAGAUCUACAAUGAGCGCUAUGGACGCUUCUAGGCACAAACACACUCGCAGCUGGUGAGAUAAACAUUGCCCAGCAUGCUCCGCUUUUCUCUCCUGACGUGAUGCGCUAAGCGAGCUCAAGUGGUGAAUGCUGUCACGUCGGUCCUGCUCGAGGGCCUCGACAGGAGCACGAGUAACAGAAGCAAAUAGAAGAUGCUCGAGAGGCAUCCAGAAAUAGAAUCCAGAGUUCGUGAAAAAUGAGAUGAACCUUCCGGUCGGCGUCUUGUUCUGAGUCGGAGCCGGAAGCCGUUCCAAUGGCUGCAUUCGUUCAGGGAAGGAAAAGCACUUGGGCAUUAACGAUUUACCAAGUUGUAUUUCUGCGGUUCUAUUUUUGGGCUCUGCUGAUCAAAAAGCCCUGUCCCUUAUGAACCCGGACUCUGAACAUCCUCUCCCUAGUUUACUAUAAAAAGGAGAUUCUUUAAUAAAACAUAGAGCUAAGGUGAGAAUC